UGUCUUUUUGAAAAUAAUAUAAAGUCUGGCCUGCCCACUGAAAGAUUUAAAGGGCUGCAGUAUUUUGACUGUACAAAGGUAGCAUAAUCAUUAGUCUUUUAAUUUGGGACUGGAAUGAAUGGUUUAACGAAGUAUUAACUGUCUUAAUGUAAUAAUUAGAAUUUAAUUUUUGAGUUAAAAAGCUUAAAUGAUAUUGGAGGACGAGAAGACCCUAUAGAGCUUUAUAGAUAAAAUAUAUUCUUUUUUUAGUAGUUUAUAAAGUUUAUAUUAAAAUUUAUUUUAUUGGGGUGAUAUGAAGAAUAAAUUAACUCUUUAUAAUUUGAACCAUUAAUGUAUGAAUAGUUGAUCCAUUUAUAAUGAUUAUAAGAUUAAGUUACCUUAGGGAUAACAGCGUAAUUUCGUUUGAGAGUUCAAAUCGACAAGGAAGAUUGCGACCUCGAUGUUGGAUUAAGGAAAAAAUUGGGUGUAGAAGUUCAAAUUUUAAGUCUGUUCGACUUUUAAAUCCUU
rnacentral:rRNA from 1 species